rnacentral:tRNA from 1 species
UGGGGUGUAGCCAAGCGGUAAGGCACCGGAUUUUGAUUCCGGCAUGCGCAGGUUCGAAUCCUGCCACCCCAGCCA